rnacentral:lncRNA from 1 species
UCUGUUUAAAUAUUAAGUGGGUUCAACAAAAACUUGGAGUCAGUAAUUUGAAAUUCUCUUAGGAUGAUAUGUAAAGGAAUGAAUAUUAUAAAAUAAUAAAUACCAUAAAAAAUCAGUACAUAAAUUUUUAAACAUCAUACCAAUAUAACAAAAGUAAAAAUAUGCAAUAUUUUCAUCUUACAAAACAAAUAAAAACUAGAGUACACCAUUUUAUGAAAAUAUAGUUAUAAGGUUAGUUAUUAAUAAGAGGUGGGAAAAUUUUACAAUUUUGUUAACAUAUUUCUCUUACUGUGAAGAGUCCUUAAGCAGCUGUUUUGGCCACCAGAUUAGGUUAUAUAGAAAAGUAGAGCCUCUUUUCAAGCCAAGGCCUAAGAUUAUUUUCCUCUGAUCCAAACUCCUUCCUCAACACAUAUUUAAGCCACUCUGGACAUUAUACUCUAGUGACAUGAAAACAGGUGAAUGAUUCUGAAUUCAUUGCUUCCUAGACCAUUAUGAUAUUGACAACUAAUUUAGAAAAAUAUUUUGACAAUAAAAUAAGAUACUGACUUGUAAAAGUGUUGCGAAGAAGUUAGACUUCAGAAAGAAUAGUACAUCAAGAAACUGAAAAAACAAAUAGGAAAACAAAGAAACAUGGACAUUUUGUUGUAGCAUUAUUUGUAAUGGCCAAGUUAUGGAAACAACCUAAGUGUCUGUGGAGACGAAUGGAUGAAGAAGUUGUGGUAUAUACACACAAUGGCAGAAUAUUAUUCAGCUUUUAAAAAGAAGGGAAUCCUGAUAUUUCUAAGAACAUAGAUAAAACAGGAAGGCAUUAUGCUAAGUGAAAUAAGAUGGCGAUUGGGGGAAAUAGGGAGAAGUUGACAAAAAUAUACAAAGUUUCAGCUAUAAAAUGAAUAAGAUCUGAUGCUCUAAUUAAUAAUAUGGUGACUAUAGUUUAUAACACCAUAUUGUAUAGUUGAAAUUUGCUGAGGUUAGAACUUAAAUGUUUGUUGCCAAACCCCAGUUUGUGUGCCAGAUGCAUGGUUAAGCCAAACAAACCAAAAUGUUUGAGUUUGGAGCAGAAAAAGGUUUAUUGCAGGAUCAUGCAAGGAGAACAUGUGGCUAGUGCUCAAAAGACCUGGUUGUCAAGGAAGAGUUUCUUUAGGCAAAAUAUGAGGGUAGGACUGUAGGGUGUGUGAACUUUUUCUGACUGGUUGGUGGUGAGCUAAAAAUGGUGUUCCAAGAAUCUCAAUCAUCAGCCUGCUAGUUCCAACCAGUAUGGAGUCCACAUGCUUGUGCUCAGCCUGAAGUUUCCAUUCUCCACCUGGUAGAAGAAUUCAGAGGUAUGUAUUAGAUUGCUAUGCACAUCCCCUAGGAGGAACCAGGACCUUGCCGCAUCACUGCACUAUUAUUUCUUGAACAACUUUUCCUUUGUUUCUGCAUUCCCUAAAUCCUUUAUUUAUUAACUGCUUGAAUGUGACCUUUGGAGCUCAGAGAAGUCUAGGAAGCUGAAGACUUUUUCCUACAGCAAGAAAUGAGGGAUACAAUAAGGUUUUUGUGCCUGGGAGGAUCCCACAGUGUCCUGCUGUGUUUCUUGUUCUCACCAAAACAUAUGAACAAAGAAAGGUAAAUAUGUUAGGUGAUGGAUAUGUUAACUUGAUGGGGAGAAUCCUUUGACGAUGCAUGUGUAUAUCAAAUCAUCACACUGUAUACCUUAAAUAUUUUAUAAAUGUAUUAGUUAUAGCUCUAUAAAGUAAAAAAGAAACCAGCACACUCAUGCACGCGCGUGCACACACACACACACACACACACACACCCAAGGUAUUAAAGAAAUUACAGGUUUCUAAGUUUACCUGUAAUUGAAAUUGUAAUUAUUCUCUUUGUGAUGAAAAAAAAAACUCAGAAUUUAGCAUUAUGAAAGAAAUAAAAUCACUCUGGGAAUCAAUAACUUAUGGGAAAUCUUCCAAGUUUUAUGUUUUUAGUAAGACUAAUCCUAGAUAGAAGAAUCUAGUUAUUUUUAGUUUAUCUUAGUGUAACUUUGUUUUCUGACUUUGGAAUGUGAUGAGUAUGCUUAUUUUGGGCAGAUUGAAGUUUUUCCCACUUGUCUGAACUACCUGGACUAGGGGGCGCUCCUGCUUCCAGGCUCAUUUUUGCACACAAUGUGUCCAAGCUCUUUACCAUUAAUGGGAGGUUGUGGAAGUGGUUACUGAGCAGGGCUGCUAAGCAGAAUAUUGCUAAGUGGAUAUUUGAAGACAGAAGGGUUACCUGCCAUUGGCUGCCUGUAUUCCUGGAAUUCCUAAGGUUCCUGCACAGCACUUGGACUCAGUCCUGAAAUCCAGCUUUACUGUUACACAGGAGGCACCUGGACUUCCCUCUUCCUUCCUCAUUUGAGUCCUCCCUCCUCAGCACAACCCAAACAAGUUUCAUUGAUCCUCUUCUGUGUUCUUCUACAUUUCUCUCUCAUUUCAAAAGAUUUAAACAAAAAUUGUUAUUUUCUUGAAACAGGACAUCCACUGUUAUGAGUGAAAAAAAUUAUUUAUGAAUUUAUAUUUCCUCAAAGGACACUUUAACCAGGACAUCUUCAUCAUUAUUAUUUUUAAACAUGUUUACUUUCCUCUAACAUGCUCUUCAAAAUACAUUUCUCCUUCUCCCCCAGUUAUUUUGCUAUAUUGCUACAGUAAAGUGUUUUCUUUUCUUUUUCCCUUGCAAUAUAUAUACUCUGUGUGUCCAUGGCCUUGAUCUCUAGUAGGGUUAUUCAUUCUUUCUGAAUUUGUUUUAUAUUUCCUCCACAACAGUAAAUGUAAUUUCCAAAUUAAAAUCCCAGUCAAGAUCAGAUUUCCUUCUUCCUCUCUAUAUAUUCAGAAAUGUGCAGAAAUAUGACUACCCUGAUUAUUUUCUGAGUUCUCACUUCUCAAUAUGCCAUUUCCAAUCUCUUUUUAGUUCAGAGCCAUAAUACAUAUAUCAUGUGUGUUAUACUUUAAAAAUACAUUUUAGUUUAUUUUAUUCAUUUAGAUAAGACUUCCCCCCUCAGCCACAAUUGUUUUCAAAGAGUAUAUCUUAACCUCAAUGUAUUUUAACGUUAAAUGCUCUCAAAUGAAUGUCUUGAGGAGUCUGUAUAAAUCAGUAUAAGUCACUGCAAGAAUCUCUAAAAGGUGUAAAUAAAAUUCAUAUUAAUAUUUAUGUACAUCAAGUACGUCAUAAAAUUUAAUAAAAGUCGUGAUAAAAAUAACUGUCAUAAAGGAAGAUGCUCUAAUACUCAACAGAUUUUUAUUUACGGAUUUAUAGAGCAGUGAAACCCAAUGGGCAGAUAGUCAAUAUAAAUAUAUUUUAUUACAUCGUCUUUUUAGCAGAUUUGUUGCUAGACAAUACAUUUAUAUUUACUGAUAGUACUAAAACGAAAUGGAUAAAUAGAAUGUGAAGACAUUUUAACAAGUUUUAUUGCUUUAUAUAACAUUUGGAACUUUAAAGUUGUACCAUUUUAUGAGUACUGAGCUCAAAUUUCCCCUACAGCAUUGUAAAUAUUAAACAAAGUUCUUAAAAUCAUGCACAGAAAUUAAUGCUUAUUGGUUAUUGAAAUAUAAUAUUUGAAAACAGUAAUUAAAGAAGAUAUUGGUAUUCUUACAACCACUUAUGAAUCUUAUUUCUUAUUUUUUAAUAUUGACUUACAUUUGAUUCUUAUGCAAUUAUUUUAGAACCUUAAAAUUAUAACCUUAGAUUUUAGAUGGUUAUGAAAAAAUAUGGAAUAAUGAUGGCUAGCGCUUCCUGAUAGUCAUAUUAUAACUCUCAAUCUCUCCCUCUCUCUCUCUCUCUAUAUAUAUAUAUAUAUACAUAUGAGAUUUUCAACAUAGGCAAAUGCCUUUUCCAAAAUUUGGGGUGAGAAUGUGGAAUAGCAGACAAGAAUUUUAAGUUUACUCAACUCUUGAAUUUUUUUGGAAUAAGAUACUGAUGGAAAAGAAUAGUGAGAAAGAGAAAUCAGAAGAAAACAAAAUAAAACAGAUUCUAGUUCCUUUUGCCUCCCCAACCCAGAAAACAUGAGUAACUCAUUUAUAUGUGAGAGACAAUAAGAUUUACCUACUAGCACUAGAAUUGCAGCAAGGACCCAAAUCAGAGGACAAGGGCCCUUAAUAUUCAGACCCUAAAAAGAGGAGUCAAGGAGGUUCCAAAAAAGUAGAGCCAUUUCCCCACCCAACCCCAACUGCCCACCUCCUAGGUUGUUAUCCACCAUGCUGCCAACUGCCUAUCCUGUCCUUCCUGUCCUCCUUGUGUCAAGCCCCUAAGCAAGAGCAAAAGACAUCUUUGUGUUUAAUGACUUAAAGAACAGAGUAUAUUUAUUAUGUCAGAAAGAUUAAAAAUAAUAGCAAUAGUGAAACUACUUUAUCAUUGAUCUGCUGCAUAUUAUUAUGUAUUAGGGAAAAAAAUCCCUCAUUAAAAACAUUUUGAAGGAAUCGUAGGGGAAAAUUAGUUCAUGAUUACACCUCACAAGUAAUCUUCUAGAACCUGAUACACAUGUCCUCCUACAGGGAACACACAGCAUCCAGAGAAGCAAUAUAAGCAUCCCAGAAGGAAACUGACAGCACUGCAGAUGAGACAAGGAGACAGCCCCUGGGCACCAGCACUGUAUGGCUGCUCAUGUUUGCAAGAGGAGUUCUGUAGUGCCUUUUACCCAUUCUGAACUAUACCAUGGGAUCAGAGACCAGGAAGUCUCAGAGCCAGGUAAGAUGCCCCUCCAUUUUAGAGGAGGCUGUGCUGGGGAGACUGAGUAAAUAAAUUCUGAAACAUAUUUAAGAUUGAAAUUUUAAACUGGACUGGACUAAGUUUUAAUAAACAACAUAACCAAAAAAUAAUGGAAUUUAAAUACUAAGAGGACCAUACUUCUUGGUGCAAAUGAAAGGUUGACAUUAGCACAAGAAAGAACGGUUUAUAGAAAAUGGCAUUUUUAUGAUACUUCACUAAGUUGAAACUACCUAAUAAACUGAUUAUAUACAUUUUGAGCUUCAGAAUUCAAAGUGAUUGAAUAGAUGUCUCUCUGAUUAAAAUUUCUUUGAAUAUCAUGUAUGUCUCUACUCAAAACAAAAAUGAAAGUUAAAACUUUCAUAUCUGGAGGUAAACUUCCCCUGAUGUUUUGCAUUUACACAUUUCUUUUGACUUAAAUAAUGAUGUUUGCUUUAGCUAUUUAAGUAGAGUAUUGCCCUUCC